AGGGAUUGUGCAGGUACUACAGGCCUUCAGAUUGCUACUAAUUUUGUUCAGGACAUGGAUGAAUAGUUGGGUACAUUCAAUGUAAAAUUUCAAGAUAUGAGAGAGGACAUAAAAUCGGUAUGCAUCUCCCCACAUCGUGCUCUCAUUUGAAAAUGUAUAUUUUCGUCUUGUCUUGUGAUUUUGCUCAUAUACAUCAUGUUAGUUAUAAAACUAUAUACUGCAUAGUGUGUUCGUCUGAUUCUAAUUUUGCUUUGUUCAACAACAUGAGCAAAUUAAAAUUCAAUUUUAUUUGUUUGCUAAAGCAUAGCUGCUUGUAUUAUCACUUGCUUUAUAAAAUAUUUUGAAGAAUGUGUUAUGAAUUAAUUCAAAUUAAGCGCUUCCCUGUGCUUUGAGAAUGUUCUAACAUAUUCUUUUGUUUUAUGAAGGUUGAAGCCCCUAAUAACAAGCUGGAAAUACAUUCAGUAAACAACAAAUCAUUGGUUGAUGAACUUGAUAGCCUUUGAGAAAGAUUGUGCAUCCCUUCCCAGGUAUUUUCUUCGACUUUUUCAUUCAAUAAAUUCAAAGAACCUUUUUUUUUUUUAACACUUGGCAGUUGUACUUUGUAUUAUUUUCCCCAUUUAAAUUUCAAUAUAUAGCAUGGCUAAUAAGAAGUUCAGGUAUUCUAGCUUGUCGGCUCGUUCAGGUUGUUAUUGAGUUUCUUUUUGUGUUUAUUGGGGCUUUUUUUAGUACUUAACACUUAGCAGUUCAGGUGUUAAAUACUAAAAAGAAAAAAGAAAAUGGGGUACUUGAUGUAAAAAUACCUUUGAGUUUAUUGCUAGCCCGCAAUACCUUUUUUAAGUAUUUAACAUUUGGGAGUUGUAUUUCAAUCACGUAAUGUUUUCCUUCACAUGCUUUAGAAUACCUUUGAGCAGCAAAUGAGCGAUUAGAGAUACUCAACAUGUAGGAUAAUAUUAUGAGAUCUUGCCUUGAUAGUUUUCAAAGUGUGUAUUUAUAUUUUUUGUCCCUUGCAGUUUUGUAUUUUCCCAGCUGGGUAGCUUAAAUUCUCUCUUUGCCAUUGAACAAACUCUGUCUAUCAUAAUGGUACCCGAGGUUCCAACCAUAAUACUUUGUAUGGAUUUGUCACAUGGUUCCCCUAGCUAGUCUAAUAUUCCAUCCAUUGUUACAGUAAAACGCUACCAACCUCUUGUUCUUUAUGCUCUUUCAAAUUAUUGCAACCUGCUUCUAUGUUUUUAUUUUAAAUAGUUUGUCUUCUUGAGGCAAUGGCCAUUAAUAUCUCAUUAACGACCAUGUGUUCACAUUCAGUCCCCUAAAGUUGAAAUCAUUGAUCCUCUUUAUAAGCAUGUCUCAGACACUGAGGAUGAGGGCAUAAUCAGAUGAGUUUAGCGUCUUCAAUUAAAAUUGUUAAUGGGCGAUAUGAAUAAGGGGGGUGUCCUCAAUUUAAAGUUUGAUGGAUUUUAAAACUCCAUAUAAAUUGAAGUAUCCUCAAUUCAGAUUUAAAUAUAAUUCAUUAAAAUAUAGGUGUCCCCAAUCUAGAUUUUUAAAAAUACUUAUAAAUUUAGGUGUCCUCAACAUAGAUUUUAAUAGGUAGUUUUGAAAUUUAGAUGUCCUCAAUAACUAGUUGAUUUUAAAAGAUUUCAUUAAGUAUAUAGAUUUUGAAGGAUUUCAAGGUAAAAAUAUAAGUACAAAAAAUCAGUAACAAUUUUAACCCAAACCUAAAAAUUUCACAACAUUUCUCACAUCUCUCCAUAUUUGCUGCCCUCUCUCUCUCUUCCUCCCCCCCCCCACCCUCCAUCUUGAACAAGAUUUUCUUCUUCUUUCUAUCUCACAUUUCUCUAUUGUAAAAAGAUCAUGUAUGAGAACUUUUCAAUUGAUGAUAAUUUAUGAAAGAUUACUAUUUUUUGUUGAAUAUUGGGUGUGAUUUUUUAUUGAACUUAUUUUUUCUUAUUGAAGUUAUAUAUUGCUUACUAUUUUAUAGAUGUGCUGGAAAUUAUCAUGGUAAUUUACGAUUUCUAGUAUGCAUCUGGAACAACUUCGUUUUUCAAGUUCUGUACUCUAUUCCUUUUUCUUGGAAAGAGCUGUGUGUUUUCUAUACAUACCUGCAAAUCCUAGCCAAGACGUGUGAGGAUGGUAUUCUACAAUUUUUUCUUUUGUGUCUGCAUGGUCAAUGAGAAUUCUGGGGGUAUGGAAUUAAUUGCCUUGUGGUCAUGUAUGUGUACAUCUGUGUGUUUGUAUCUCACGAGGUUGUGGCAUUUUGAACUAAUUCAUAUUGAUUACGACUUUGAUUAUUUAACACUACAUAUUUUUGUCCUCUCCCACUCUCGCAUUUUGUUGAAUAGUGGGUGUAUUUUUUUAUUGAAGCUCUGUUAUAAUACUCAAUGUUUAACAAACAAUUAAACAAGGAUUCGAUCAUUUUCUGUGAUUUAUUAACAUGCAUAUGUGUAAGAAUAAGUUGUUAAAGAAGAAGUAAAAAAUUGUGGCUUAUGUUAAGCAUAUUUAUAAAUUUUACCCAGAAUCUAUAAAAUCCAUUGAAAUCUAUAAAAUCCAUGAAAUUUUUUUAAAAUCUACAAAAUAGAAAUUCAUUCAAAUCUUAUGAAAUCUAUUAAAUUCUAUGAAAUUUCACACAAUUCAUGGGAAUUUAUAAAUAUUAAGAAAUCUAUUAAACUCUGAAAUGAGGACACCCCCGUAAAUGCCGAUGCAACUCCUUUAAUUCGCUUUACUGUUGAGGCCACAACUGCAGAUUUUUCUUGCUAAUGGAACUAAAUUUACAGCAGGCUUCCUCUGAGAGACCAGCUUAGCUCAAUUUGGCAUGUUAUGAACUAUGCAAAAUUGUCCAUAAAUAUGUUACUUCAAUUCAGAAAACGUCAAUUUUAUGAUACAAUUGUUUCUUUUCUUUAUUCAAAUAAGUUUUCCACAAUUUUUAUGUCAAUUCUGUACUAUUGAAAUGUAAUUUUGAUAAUAUACAUUGUUAGUGCCAAAUGUUAGUGUUAUUUAUUUUGUUAUUUAUAUUCACUGUUCAAUCUUUGAUUUUUUUUUCGAGGUUUUAAAAAAUCAUUCCCAAAAAAUUAGGAAAUUUCAACUGAAAUUGGAGUUUGACGACGAAUUUGUGAGGUAUCGUGAUGAAAGAGACCGUGAGUCAUGGCUGAUAUGAAUGGAAGGUAUUUUUCGACGAGACCCAUAAAAAUUAACUUGGUUGCUAGCAAACAGAAUGUGGGUGGUCAGGCUAAAGUUAUGAUUUACCUUUCAUCCUUGUGGUACUUUUGUCAGCUUAUUAGAUGGCCGCAUCAAAUUGACUUAAACAGGCUGAAUUAGAUUUGGUUUUUGCAUGAUGUGAUUUGAUUCCUGAUUUUGGCAGUUCAAAUGCAUUGAUGGCUUUUUGUUUUAGAUAUAUUUUCAACGGUUGAUGCUUAUUCAACAAUGUUGUUUUUAAGUAUGCUUCCUCUCAGUUAUACUCUUGAAUUCUUAAAGAUAACCACAGCUUACGAUAACAUUUCUUUGAAGUAUUUUUGAUG
rnacentral:lncRNA from 1 species